UACUUCAUAAGUCAUCUUCAUGUUCUCAAGACAUUUAUCAAUUCCUUGUAGCUCUUCUAUGGACCCUCUCCAAUUUCUCACAUCUUCUUGAAAUGGCGGUG